CCCAGGACAGACCUGGGAGGGCGGCGAGGCCCAGCAGGAGCGCCCCGGCCCGGCCCCGGCCCCGGCUACAUUCUCAGUGCCAGGAAAAGGGGCGAGAGGCCGCAGGUGCCCCUAGCCAAACUAAAAACGAAACGCUGCUCCAGCAGAUUGGGUGGAAACAGCUGUGCCUGUUUUCUCUGUUUUUAGGCUGGAAAGGGCUUGUAAACAUGGUUCCUUUUAAAAUGACCUACCCAGGGAGGUUUGGGCACAGUUCUGUUCUGCGAUCAUCUUUUCCAGGGGGUCUCUGACUUGGGACUUCAAUCUCCUGUAUCUCCACAUUGUCGUUUUAUACACAAUUGCCGAAGUUGAAGUUGAACUGCUUUCAACUUCCCCGUGCUUGAAACUGCGAAGGUUCUGCCCUGACAGUUCCCGGAAUAAUGCUGAGGACUACCUGUGGGGUAGCUGCUUCAUUCAGUUCACUUCAUCUGGGAAGACCUGAGCCCUGCCUUCGAUCCAGCGGCCCUCCUGAGAGCUGAGAAGGAGCGACCCCUACGCGUCUGCUCCCUGGAGCUGCCACAACGCAUCUUCCUGCGACUCGGAACUUGGAGAAAGGAACCCAGCACAUCACUUUGCUUUUCUUCUGGACCUAGUUGGUAGUUAUACUCUCUCUCCCAUGGAGACCACCUCUUGCACCAUCCUUUCUUCUAUAUGGAAUUUAGGAUAGAAAUUAAAAAGAUAACAUCUUAUUUCAAGCCUUGAUUUGGAGGAGGAUAGUAUUUGGGGGGAAGUAGGCUAUGGUACACAUAGAAAAUUUGAGGACAGUGUCACUUAACAAGGACAUUUCUGUCUCUGCAGAAGUCAUAGCUUGGAGGAAAUGAGUUUGCACUGUCUGAUGAGGAAUUUGGCCACCAAAUCACUGACACUUUCCCAAAGAUUUGGCAGAAAUUGUUUUUCAAGUAGCUCACCUGAGUCCCUAGAAGAAUCAGCAUGGAAUUAGAGGACAGUGACCUACCCUAACCAAGGACUUAGGUGA